rnacentral:lncRNA from 1 species
CUCCUGAAUGGCUAUCACUUUUGCUUCCUACUCUUUUGGCAAAGACCACAAAACCUUACAAACAAGUUCAUAGUUAGUACAGGUUUUAUCAAGACCAUUUAAAUCAUUAAUAAUAUCAAUAAAUUUGGAAAAUAUAUCAAAAAUUGACUCAUAUUUUUUAUUUUAAAUAUUUCAUACUUAUGAACAAGCAAAUUAAUUUUAGACUUUUUAACUUGACUUGUUCUCUCUUGAGUAAUUUUUAAUUUAUCCCA